rnacentral:rRNA from 1 species
UCUGAUUGAUCCUGCCAGUAGUCAUAUGCUUGUCUCAAAGAUUAAGCCAUGCAUAUCUCAGUGCAUGCCGAAUUAAGGUGAAACCGCGAAUGGCUCACUAAAUCAGUUAUGGUUCAUUGGAUUGUACCAACAUUUAUUUGGAUAAUUGUGGUAAUUCUAGAGCUAAUACAUGCAAAACAGAGUCCCGACCAGUGAUGGGAGGGACGCUUUUAUUAGAUCAAAACCAAUCGGUGGCGCGCGGUCCCCGUGCGUCCGCCGUUUAUCCUGGUGACUCUGAAUAACUUUGAGCUGAUCGCACGGUCCUCGUACCGGCGACGCAUCUUUCAAAUGUCUGCCUUAUCAACUUUCGAUGGUAGGUUCUGCGCCUACCAUGGUUGUAACGGGUAACGGGGAAUCAGGGUUCGAUUCCGGAGGGGGAGCCUGAGAAACGGCUACCACAUCCAAGGAAGGCAGCAGGCGCGCAAAUUACCCACUCCCGGCACGGGAAGGUAGCGACGAAAAAUAACGAUACGGGACUCAUCCGAGGCCCCGUAAUCGGAAUGAAUACACUUUAAAUUCUUUAACGAGGAUCCAUUGGAGGGCAAGUCUGGUGCCAGCAGCCGCGGUAAUUCCAGCUCCAAUAGCGUAUAUUAAAGUUGUUGCGGUUAAAAAGCUCGUAGUUGAAUCUGUGUCGCACACCGUCGGUUCACCGCUCGCGGUGUCUAACUGGCGUGAUGUGGGACGUCCUACCGGUGGGCUUAGCCUCGCGAGGGGCGGCCCAACUGAUAUCCCGUCGCGGUGCUCUUUACUGAGUGUCGAGUCGGGCCGGUACGUUUACUUUGAACAAAUUAGAGUGCUUAAAGCAGGCUACCUUCGCCUGAAUACUGUGGUCAUGGAAUAAUGGAAUAGGACCUCGGUUCUAUUUUGUUGGCUUUCGGAACCCCGAGGUAAUGAUUAAUAGGGACAGAUGGGGCAUUCGUAUUGCGACGUUAGAGGUGAAAUUCUUGGAUCGUCGCAAGACGGACAGAAGCGAAAGCAUUUGCCAAAAAUGUUUUCAUUAAUCAAGAACGAAAGUUAGAGGUUCGAAGGCGAUCAGAUACCGCCCUAGUUCUAACCAUAAACAAUGCCAGUUAGCGAUCCGCCGAAGUUCCUCCAAUGACUCGGCGGGCAGCUUCCGGGAAACCAAAGCUUUUGGGUUCCGGGGGAAGUAUGGUUGCAAAGCUGAAACUUAAAGGAAUUGACGGAAGGGCACCACCAGGAGUGGAGCCGGCGGCUUAAUUUGACUCAACACGGGAAACCUCACCAGGCCCAGACACCGGAAGGAUUGAUAGAUUGAUAGCUCUUUCUUGAUUCGGUGGGUGGUGGUGCAUGGUCGUUCUUAGUUGGUGGAGCGAUUUGUCUGUUUAAUUCCGAUAACGAACGAGACUCUAGCCUACUAAAUGGGCGUACCUUAUGGUAUCGCGAAGGACCCUGGCCUCGGCUGGC